GCCUUGUCACUUCUCCCCUGAAGAGUCUCCAGGUGUGGCUUCCAGGCUCUGGGUGUCCGGCACAGAGGGCUGAGCAGGACACUGAAAAGAGAAGCAACCUUACAGCGGCUCCUCCUGUCUACCCACCCGCCUGUCUCUCUGUCGCAAUCUGCUCUCCUGGCUCCUUCCUGCCCGGCUGCUGAGGGCUCUUCUCCCCGAGACCUCCAUGCAGAGAGGAAUGCCUGCAACCCGAGCCUGUGUCCCCCACGAGCACUCUGGGCCAGACCUCAAGACUGGAGCAGCGGCACCCUCUCCGUGGAUGAGCACUUCCUGUGCCCAGCUGCCAGUCAGCUCGGGUGCUGGCACCCGCCCGCCGGCCUUACCUGCCUGGCCAGGUGAGCGCCAUGAGUGAACGUGCUUCUUAGACGCCAGAGGAACACAGACAGCUACAGCCUCCUUCUGGGAAGUGAAGGAGGAGAACCCAGUUCUCUUGUGCUGACCGUUCACAGCCAGGCCCCUUCCCGG
ensembl:lncRNA